rnacentral:rRNA from 1 species
UACGAAGGGGGCUAGCGUUGCUCGGAAUCACUGGGCGUAAAGGGUGCGUAGGCGGGUCUUUAAGUCAGGGGUGAAAUCUGGAGCUCAACUCCAGAACUGCCUUUGAUACUGAGGAUCUUGAGUUCGGGAGAGGUGAGUGGAACUGCGAGUGUAGAGGUGAAAAUUCGUAGAUAUUCGCAAGAACACCAGUGGCGAAGGCGGCUCACUGGCCCGAUACUGAACGCUGAGGCACGAAAAGCGUGGGGAGCAAACAGG